AUGACAGAGGCAGCGACAUUUCAAAUGCCUUCCGCUCUUAGAUGGUUGUUUGCGACUAUACUGGUAUUCUGUGAGGCAACACAAAUCCAUCAGUUGUGGAACAAACAUCUAGCAUCCAUGUCUGAAGAUUAUCGUCGUACUCAAUCGAAUGAGGCAGCACUAGAGCAAAUGGUCCUUAGGAAUAUCAGGGAUUUGCUGCAAUCCAUGGGAAAGAAUAUUAAACUCUAUGGACUUCUGGAUCUGGUUGACGCAGAUGGUUCUUCUGACAUUGACAAUAGAGAGGUAACAGAGGAGAGACAUGUCAAAGUGGACCAAGAACAUCUAGAUCUAUUCAACUGUUUGAAUAAUGAGCAACUAGCUGGUUUCAAUGACAUAAUGGAUCAUGUGACGAACCAGAAAAGCCAGAUAUUCUUUAUUGACGGUCUAGGAGGCACUGGGAAGACGUACCUGUACAAGGCGUCCUUGAUAAUUUGGGAUGAAGUUGUUAUGACAAAGUGUCAAGCAGUUGAGACGCUUGAUAGAUCGCUACAGGAUAUAAUGGAAUGUUCUUUACCAUCUGGUGGUAAGGUUGUCAUCUUUGGUGGCGAUUUCAGGCAGGUCCUCCCUAUUGUGACCUGA
rnacentral:rRNA from 1 species